UACGGGGGAGCAAGCGUUGUUCGGAUUUACUGGGCGUAAAGGGCGCGUAGGCGGCCAGCACAAGUCAGUUGUGAAAUCUCCGAGCUUAACUCGGAACGGUCAACUGAUACUGUGCGGCUAGAGUGCAGAAGGGGCAACUGGAAUUCUUGGUGUAGCGGUGAAAUGCGUAGAUAUCAAGAGGAACACCUGCGGCGAAGGCGGGUUGCUGGGCUGACACUGACGCUGAGGCGCGAAAGCUAGGGGAGCGAACGGG
rnacentral:rRNA from 1 species